UACGUAGGGUGCAAGCGUUUAAUCGGAAUUACUGGGCGUAAAGCGUGCGCAGGCGGUUUUGUAAGACUGUCGUGAAAUCCCCGGGCUCAACCUGGGAACUGCAUUGGAAACUGGCCGAGCUUGAAUGCGGCAGAGGGGGGUGGAAUUCCGCGUGUAGCAGUGAAAUGCGUAGAUAUCGGGAGGAACACCGGUGGCGAAGGCGGCGACCUGGGUCGACACU
rnacentral:rRNA from 1 species